rnacentral:rRNA from 1 species
UACGAAGGGGGCUAGCGUUGCUCGGAAUUACUGGGCGUAAAGCGCACGUAGGCGGAUUGUUAAGUCGGGGGUGAAAUCCUGGAGCUCAACUCCGGAACUGCCUUCGAUACUGACGAUCUUGAGUCCGGGAGAGGUGAGUGGAACUGCGAGUGUAGAGGUGAAAUUCGUAGAUAUUCGCAAGAACACCAGUGGCGAAGGCGGCUCACUGGCCCGGUACUGACGCUGAGGUGCGAAAGCGUGGGGAGCAAACAGG